AUGCCUGGAUAAUUAAUUAUCCAAUUCGAGACACCACUGUAUUUAUUAAGCAAGGAUUUGACCAGUAGCAUUUGUGCAUUUGAUUGAGUCAUCACCAUAAACAGCCACUACUAAUUAACAUGUCACCAGGAUUUACAUAGGGGUCCAGGAAAUCAUCCCAGGCCAACCAAGUA